CAGCCGCCGCGGUAAUACGAAGGGGGCUAGCGUUGUUCGGAUUUACUGGGCGUAAAGGGCGCGUAGGCGGACUGAUAAGUCAGGGGUGAAAUCCCAAGGCUCAACCUUGGAACUGCCUUUGAUACUGUUUGUCUUGAGUUCGAGAGAGGUAAGCGGAACUGCGAGUGUAGAGGUGAAAUUCGUAGAUAUUCGCAAGAACACCAGUGGCGAAGGCGGCUUACUGGCUCGAAACUGACGCUGAGGCGCGAAAGCGUGGGGAGCAAACAGGAUUAGAUACCCCUGUAGUCCCUGUCUCUUAUAC
rnacentral:rRNA from 1 species